rnacentral:rRNA from 1 species
AAAGACGUAGUAGCCUGCGAUAAGCCUCGGGGAGCUGGCAAACAAGCUUUGAUCCGAGGAUUUCUGAAUGGGGCAACCCACGGCUUAGGCCGUAUCCCGCAAGGGAGGCUAACGCAGGGAACUGAAACAUCUAAGUACCUGCAGGAAAAGAAAUCAACCGAGAUUCCCCUAGUAGUGGCGAGCGAACGGGGAGUAGCCCUUAAGUUUUGUGCGGUUUAGUGGAACAGUCUGGAAAGUCUGGUCAUAGCGGGUGAUAGCCCCGUACACGAAAAACUGCAUGAGAUGAAAUCGAGUAAGGCGAGGCACGUGAAACCUUGUCUGAAUAUGGGGGGACCAUCCUCCAAGGCU